AUUGAACGCUGGCGGCAUGCCUUACACAUGCAAGUCGAACGGUAACGGGCCUUCGGGUGCCGACGAGUGGCGAGCGGGUGAGUAAUGUAUCGGAACGUACCUUUCAGUGGGGGAUAACGUAGCGAAAGUUACGCUAAUACCGCAUAUUCUGUGAGCAGGAAAGCAGGGGAUCGCAAGACCUUGCGCUGAUUGAGCGGCCGAUAUCAGAUUAGCUAGUUGGUGAGGUAAAGGCUCACCAAGGCGACGAUCUGUAGCGGGUCUGAGAGGAUGAUCCGCCACACGGGAACUGAGACACGGUCCAGACUCCUACGGGAGGCAGCAGUGGGGAAUUUUGGACAAUGGGGGCAACCCUGAUUCAGCCAUGCCGCGUGAGUGAAGAAGGCCUUCGGGUUGUAAAGCUCUUUCGGCCGGGAAGAAAUCGUAUGGGUUAAUACCCUGUGCGGAUGACGGUACCGGCAUAAGAAGCACCGGCUAACUACGUGCCAGCAGCCGCCGUAAGAC
rnacentral:rRNA from 1 species